rnacentral:lncRNA from 1 species
GCUAAAUACAGUAGAGAGGCUAUAUACAGUAGAGAGGCUAUAUACAGUAGAGAGGCUAUAUACAGUAGAGGGGCUAUAUACAGUAGAGAGGCUAUAUACAGUAGAGAGGCUAUAUACAGUAGAGAGGCUAUAUACAGUAGAGAGGCUAUAUACAGUAGAGAGGCUAUAUACAGUAGAGAGGCUAUAUACAGUAGAGGCUAUAUACAGUAGAGAGGCUAUAUACAGUAGAGAGGCUAUAUACAGUAGAGAGGCUACAUACAGUAGAGAGGCUACAUACAGUAGAGAGGCUAUAUACAGUAGAGAGGCUAUAUACAGUAGAGAGGAUAUAUACAGUAGAGAGGCUAUAUACAGUAGAGAGGCUAUAUACAGUAGAGAGGCUAUAUACAGUAGAGAGGAUAUAUACAGUAGAGAGGCUAUAUACAGUAGAGGCUAUAUACAGUAGAGAGGCUAUAUACAGUAGAGAGGCUAUAUACAGUAGAGAGGCUAUAUACAGUAGAGAGGUUAUAUACAGUAGAGAGGCUAUAUACAGUAGAGAGGCUAUAUAAAGUAGAGAGGUUAUAUACAGUAGAGAGGCUAUAUACAGUAGAGGGGCUAUAUACAGUAGAGAGGCUAUAUACAGUAGAGAGGUUCUAUACAGUAGAGAGGCUAUAUACAGUAGAGGCUAUAUACAGUAGAGAGGUUAUAUACAGUAGAGAGACUAUAUACAGUAGAGGCUAUAUACAGUAGAGAGGCUAUAUACAGUAGAGAGGCUAUAUACAGUAGAGAGGUUAUAUACAGUAGAGAG